rnacentral:tRNA from 1 species
CAUUAGAUGACUGAAAAGCAAGUAAUGGUCUCUUAAACCAGAAUAUAAUAAUUUAGCAAUUAUUUCUAAUGA